GGUCGUCUCUCUCUAAGAUCUCAACGAGAGUGUGUUUUUGAUAAUCUGAAAUCGAAACAGCUCCCAUAGCUUCUUCUCAAUUGUUGUUACCCUUCUCCCAAAUUCACGACUUUCUUCUGGGUUCGUCGGAAAACUUGAGAUUAUAUCUGUUGUUUUGUGAUAAAAAAAGAAGCUUUAAAGCUGUGAGGUUCGUGAGGGAAGUGAGUGAGGUUAGUGGUGAGAUUGAUGUCUACGAGGACGAGUCGUGUGACUGUUGCGGUUGUAGGAGACUCCGGUCAAUUGACAUGGGUUUGUUGUUGUGUUCCUUGAGUUGAGUUUUCUGGUAGGAUCUGCGGUGAGUUUGAAUUUAUGAGGGUUUCUAAUCAGAGCUUGAAGAAGAAGAAUUGUAGCUUAGUUACGUUUGGGCAUUGCAACUUUCUCUUCUCACUCCUUAUAUUCAGGUACUUACUACUUCUCUCUUAUCACUUGUGCGUUCGGAUUCGAUUUGGGUUUGUUUGUUUAGUGUUUGUUUUGUCACUGGUUUGAUAGUUGUUGUAAUCUGUGAUCAUAGAGAAGCAUUUGGAGAACACACUUAGCAGAAUUUUGGGUCCUAUGGGUUUGUGAGCAAAAUUGGCUUACUUGAGAGAUUAGUAUAGAUAUGAAGGAAGAAGAUAUCUGUGUAAAAUAUAGUUCAUCGUUAGUAUAGAAAUGAGAUUAGUAUCAUGAACGUUUGUAUAGAUAUGAGAUGGAUUAGUAUUUCAAAGUUAGUAUAGAUAUAUCUAAGAAUCUAAAGCUUAUGCUUGGACUCUGAACAAAUCUCUGUGACAAUCUAUCUGAAAACAAUCAUAGAGAUGGAAAGCUAAUGAUAAACAGAAAGACUUACUUUAACAUAAUAAGCCUUCUUAAUCUCAGCACCAAUUGACGCCUAAUAUGUCAUAGUACUCACUCUCCUUAGAGCUGUCAAUUGGGCGGGCUGCCCGUGGGCUUGCCCAGUCCAAAUGCACGCGGGCGGGCUAUGGUCCAGACCAAAAAAGAAAUGGUCCAAUUGGGCUUGUGACUUGUUUUGUCCGCGGACAUAAUGGGCGCGACCAAAUGGACAUUGGGCUUGCCCAAAUUUGUAAAAUAUCGAGGGUUUGAAGAUUUGGGGGAAAAUUCCAAAUCCCUCUCUUCUCAUCUCACCUCUCCGCUCUCGAUACCUUCUUCUCUUCUUCGAAUUGCUCCAUAUCAAUCUCCAUCUCUUCAUAUAUCUGCUUCAUCUCUUUGUCCCUCAGGUAAUGAUUUAAUGGGUUUUUCUCUUUGUCUCUCUCUCUCUCUCUCUCUCUCUAAAGCUCUGUUCUUCAUACUCUUGGUUUAUUCAUUUGCUGGGAUUUGACGAUUAUGGGUUUAGUCUUGUAUAUAGCUCCGUAACACAUUGAUUCUUAGCUUGUUUAGUUAAAAUGUGUGUUCUCCUUUCUAGUCAAUUAGUUCUACGUUUGCUUAUAUGGUUGGAUUCUCAGUAAUGCAUCUAUUGUGUUGUCUAGUUUGAGAAAUCUCAGUCCUAGUUGAAUGUAGAAUGAAUCAUGAGGAAUGGAAAUAGUGUGAAAACUUACUGUUGAACCCCUUGUUUUCCAAAUUUGUCAUAAGCUGUUCGCUUCUCCGGAUCGCUAAGAACUUGGUAAGCUUCACCUAGUAUCUUCAUUCACACAUAACAAUUUACAGGUUCAAGCGAUCCAGAAUAUUAUUCAAUCAAACACUCGUUGAAAACCCUUGUGAAGUAGAGGUGAUUCUAUAUUUUGCUCAAAAAAAAGGUGAAGUACAAAAAUGACCUGAAAGUUUUUAGCAGCUUGAGGAUCACCAUGGUUCUUGUCUGGAUGAACUUGCC
rnacentral:lncRNA from 1 species